CCUACGGGUGGCUGCAGUGGGGGAUAUUGGACAAUGGGGGGAACCCUGACCCAGCGACGCCGCGUGAGUGAAGAAGUAUUUCGGUAUGUAAAGCUCUGUCAGCCGGGAAGAAAGAACUGACGGUACCUGACCAAGAAGCCCCGGCUAACUACGUGCCAGCAGCCGCGGUAAUACGUAGGGGGCAAGCGUUAUCCGGAAUUACUGGGUGUAAAGGGAGCGUAGACGGUUAAGUAAGUCUGGAGUGAAAGGCCGGGGCUCAACCCCGGGACUGCUCUGGAAACUAUUUAACUUGAGUGCAGGAGAGGAUAGCGGAAUUCCUAGUGUAGCGGUGAAAUGCGUAGAUAUUAGGAGGAACACCAGUGGCGAAGGCGGCUAACUGGACUGUAACUGACGUUGAGGCUCGAAAGCGUGGGGAGCAAACAGGAUUAGAUACCCCAGUAGUC
rnacentral:rRNA from 1 species